rnacentral:rRNA from 1 species
AUUGAACGCUGGCGGCAGGCCUAACACAUGCAAGUCGAGCGGAUGAAGGGAGCUUGCUCCUGGAUUCAGCGGCGGACGGGUGAGUAAUGCCUAGGAAUCUGCCUGGUAGUGGGGGAUAACGUCCGGAAACGGGCGCUAAUACCGCAUACGUCCUGAGGGAGAAAGUGGGGGAUCUUCGGACCUCACGCUAUCAGAUGAGCCUAGGUCGGAUUAGCUAGUUGGUGGGGUAAAGGCCUACCAAGGCGACGAUCCGUAACUGGUCUGAGAGGAUGAUCAGUCACACUGGAACUGAGACACGGUCCAGACUCCUACGGGAGGCAGCAGUGGGGAAUAUUGGACAAUGGGCGAAAGCCUGAUCCAGCCAUGCCGCGUGUGUGAAGAAGGUCUUCGGAUUGUAAAGCACUUUUGGUUGGGAAGAAGGGCAGUAAGUUAAUACCUCGCUGUUUUGACGUUACCAAAAGAAUAAGCACCGGCUAACUUCGUG